UACAGAGGAUGCAAGCGUUAUCCGGAAUUAUUGGGCGUAAAGCGUCUGUAGGUGGCUUUUUAAGUCCGCCGUCAAAUCCUAGGGCUCAACCCUGGACAGGCGGUGGAAACUACCAAGCUGGAGUACGGUAGGGGCAGGCGGAACUGUGGGUGGAGCGGUGAAAUGCGUUGAGAUCCACAGGAACUCCGGUGGCGAAGGCGGCCUGCUGGACCCCAUCUGACGCUGAGGCGCGAAAGCCAGGGGAGCGAACGGG
rnacentral:rRNA from 1 species